UACGUAGGGUGCAAGCGUUGUCCGGAAUUAUUGGGCGUAAAGAGCUCGUAGGCGGCUUGUUGCGUCGGCUGUGAAAACCCGCGGCUUAACUGCGGGCGUGCAGCCGAUACGGGCGGGCUGGAGUUCGGUAGGGGAGACUGGAAUUCCCGGUGUAGCGGUGAAAUGCGCAGAUAUCAGGAGGAACACCGGUGGCGAAGGCGGGUCUCUGGGCCGAUACUGACGCUGAGGAGCGAAAGCGUGGGGAGCGAACAGG
rnacentral:rRNA from 1 species